UAGUCUCCACAUGUAAAACAGUUGGCUG
rnacentral:piRNA from 1 species